rnacentral:rRNA from 1 species
ACUCACCGCCCGUCACACCAUGGGAGUUGUGUUUGCCUUAAGUCAGGAUGCUAAAUUAGCUACUGCCCACGGCACACACAGCGACUGGGGUGAAGUCGUAACAAGGUAACCGUAGGUGAACCUGCGGUUGGAUCACCUCCUUUCUAGA